rnacentral:rRNA from 1 species
GACGAACGCUGGCGGCGUGCUUAACACAUGCAAGUCGAACGGAAAGGUCCUGCUUUUGUGGGGUGCUCGAGUGGCGAACGGGUGAGUAACACGUGAGCAACUUGCCCUUGACUUUGGGAUAACUUCAGGAAACUGGGGCUAAUACCGGAUAGGAGCUCCUGCUGCAUGGUGGGGGUGGGAAAGUUUCGGCGGUUGGGGAUGGACUCGCGGCUUAUCAGCUUGUUGGUGGGGUAGCGGCUUACCAGGGCUUUGACGGGUAGCCGGCCUGAGAGGGUGACCGGGAACAUUGGGACAGAGAUACGGGCCACACUACUACGGGAGGCAGCUGUGGGGGCUAUUGCAUAAUGGGCGGAAGCCUGAUGCAGCAACGCCGCGUGAGGGAUGACGGCCUGCGGGUUGUAAACCGCUUUCGCCUGUGACGAAGCGUGAGUGACGGUACUGGGUGAAGAAGCACCGGCUAACUACGUG